GUCUACGGCCAUACUACCCUGAACGCGCCUGAUCUUGUCUGAUCUCAGAAGCUAAGCAGGGUCGGGCCUGGUUAGUACUUGGAUGGGAGACCACCAGGGAAUACCGGGUGUUGUAGGCU
rnacentral:rRNA from 1 species